GAUGCUGCUGAAAUCUCCACCUUAUAAUCCUCAACUCCACAAGUCUCAAACUCCCUUUUCAGUUCACCUUUUAUGGAGCAAUCAUCUUCCUUCUUCUCCUGUGAAGGAGCUGAGAGAGUUUUCUUCGAAUCAUCGGCGGAAAUCUGCUCCCCGCUUUUCCCCUGUUUCUGCGAGUUUGCCAAGCUUUGACAAAUAGCUUGCAACUUUGCAUCAACAGAGGAAUGGAGAGGCUUGUAGUCGCCAAAUUCUCC
rnacentral:misc_RNA from 1 species